UUGUCCAGGCCAUCAGUGCCCUGUGUCAGAAAUAUCCUCGCAAACACGCCGUCCUUAUGAACUUCCUGUUCACCAUGCUGCGGGAAGAGGGUGGCUUUGAGUAUAAGCGCGCUAUCGUGGACUGCAUCAUCAGCAUCAUUGAAGAGAACUCAGAGAGCAAGGAGACAGGGCUGUCACAUCUGUGCGAGUUCAUCGAGGACUGUGAGUUCACAGUGCUGGCCACCCGUAUUCUACAUCUCCUGGGCCAGGAGGGGCCCAAGACCACCAAUCCCUCAAAGUACAUCCGCUUCAUCUAUAACCGAGUGGUCUUGGAGCAUGAGGAGGUCCGGGCAGGUGCUGUGAGUGCUCUGGCCAAGUUUGGAGCCCAGAAUGAAGAGAUGUUACCCAGUAUCUUGGUGUUGCUGAAGAGGUGAGUCUAGGCCCAGGGGCCCUAAUGGGGACAGUGUUCCCUUGGACACAAGCAGCUUUCCUUUGUCUUUAUUUUUUUUUAACUGAAAAGGGAGAGAAAAGUUAUACAGCUACUGAUUGUGGAAAAAAAAGAGAAA
rnacentral:sRNA from 1 species